AGAACGAACGCUGGCGGCAGGCUUAACACAUGCAAGUCGAGCGCCCCGCAAGGGGAGCGGCAGACGGGUGAGUAACGCGUGGGAACAUACCCUCCGGUUCGGAAUAGCUCAGGGAAACUUGGAUUAAUACCGGAUACGGCCUAGCGGCGAAAGAUUCAUCGCCGGAGGAUUGGCCCGCGCUCGAUUAGCUAGUUGGUGAGGUAACGGCUCACCAAGGCGACGAUCGAUAGCUGGUCUGAGAGGAUGAUCAGCCACAUUGGGACUGAGACACGGCCCAAACUCCUACGGGAGGCAGCAGUGGGGAUAUUGGACAAUGGGCGCAAGCCUGAUCCAGCCAUGCCGCGUGAGUGAUGACGGCCUUAGGGUUGUAAAGCUCUUUCGCUAGGGACGAUAAUGACGGUACCUAGACAAGAAGCCCCGGCUAACUUCGUGCCAGCAGCCGC
rnacentral:rRNA from 1 species